UGGGGAAUAUUGGACAAUGGGCGAAAGCCUGAUCCAGCCAUGCCGCGUGUGUGAAGAAGGUCUUCGGAUUGUAAAGCACUUUAAGUUGGGAGGAAGGGCAUUAACCUAAUACGUUAGUGUUUUGACGUUACCGACAGAAUAAGCACCGGCUAACUCUGUGCCAGCAGCCGCGGUAAUACAGAGGGUGCAAGCGUUAAUCGGAAUUACUGGGCGUAAAGCGCGCGUAGGUGGUUUGUUAAGUUGGAUGUGAAAUCCCCGGGCUCAACCUGGGAACUGCAUUCAAAACUGACUGACUAGAGUAUGGUAGAGGGUGGUUGAAUUUCCUGUGUAGCGGUGAAAUGCGUAGAUAUAGGAAGGAACACCAGUGGCGAAGGCGACCACCUGGACUAAUACUGACACUGAGGUGCGAAAGCGUGGGGAGCAAACA
rnacentral:rRNA from 1 species